CCUACGGGUGGCAGCAGUGAGGAAUAUUGGUCAAUGGACGAGAGUCUGAACCAGCCAAGUAGCGUGAAGGAUGACUGCCCUAUGGGUUGUAAACUUCUUUUAUAUGGGAAUAAAAUGUUACACGUGUGGGAUUUUGUAUGUACCAUAUGAAUAAGGAUCGGCUAACUCCGUGCCAGCAGCCGCGGGAAUACGGGGGAUCCGGGCGUUAGCCGGGUUUAUUUGGUUUAAAGGGAGCGUAGUGGGAUUGUUAAGUCAGUUGUGAAAGUUUGCGGCUCAACCGUACAAUUGCAGUUGAAACUGGCAGUCUUGAGUACAGUAGAGGUGGGCGGAAUUCGUGGUGUAGCGGUGAAAUGCUUAGAUAUCACGAAGAACACCGAUUGCGAAGGCAGUUCACUGGACUGCAACUGACACUGAGGCUCGAAAGUGUGGGUAGCAAACAGGAUUAGAUACCCCGGUAGUC
rnacentral:rRNA from 1 species